GGGUUUCUUCCUCCGUCAUGCCUAAUUCGAGUGGUUUACUCGAAUGGGUAUCCCCCACAGAAACAUAGCCUUGCUCC
rnacentral:tRNA from 1 species